ACGGAUAAAACUGCAUUGAUUUGAUUGAUAGCAUAAUAUUUAAGCACACUUAGUGUUUAGUUUAGAAUCUGGAGGGCCGCACAAACCCACAGCGGGCCGGAUUUGGCCCACGGGCCUUCAGUUUGACACGUGCUCUAAGGGGAUAUAUCCCGUAAUAAUUAAUAUCACAGAAGGAACUUUGGCAGUCAAGGGGGAACUGCUACCCCACAAAACUUCAGGAGUCCACACUGGGAAUAGAACCCCGACUUGGACUGUAUUAGAUCAAACCCCAUCCUCCCCAAAUCCCAUGUUUGGUCCCAACUAAAUGACAUUAUAUCUAGAAACCUGGUUCAGAAAAUCUACAGUUAAUCUUAAAGGUCCAUGCACAAACUUAAUUGAAAUGCUUAAAGAAGCAGUUUUAAAAGGCGUCCCUGGAUAUGUUAUGCAGUCUAUAAAACACAAUCAAGAUCUUGCAGGGUGUGAACAUGUGAGAUGGAAAAGAUACCUGCUUCAUCACCUCUUAAAGGCACAGGACGAAUAAAAUAAUAAUAAAAAAAAAACAGUCUUAAGGGCUUAGACACUCUGAUGCUGAAACUCCAAUUGCAGGAAGCAAAACAAAAUUACAUUAAUUAAAUAAAAAGUAAACAAGAACAUGUGAUGGUUGCAGCAGCAUCUUCUCAAAAUAAAUCUACACAGGGUAAAAUUCCAAAUUACUGGCAAAACUCUAAUCAUACUGGGGGGGGGAACUGGUUCCUCCUCCUGCUUUUUCUUUUUUAUAUCCUCAAACAGAUACAGAGCGUUUCCUCGUGGACGGGGAUGGCGUUUGGCUGGACGUGGAUGGGGGCCAUGGGGCAAGGUCGCGGAGCACAGGGCCAGGGACCAAAGGAACUUGACGUGCUACCAGUGCAGACAUUUUGGACACUGGGCCAAACACUGUGUGAACAUACCAAAGACUGCCAGGUAUGAUCCCCAACAAUCCUUAUGUGAUUCCUGGACAUUGCUUUCAGGGGAAUACUGAGGCCACACAGAACAUCUACUGAAACACUGCUGAGGACCCCGGAGACAAUGGUUCUCAUGGACUGAACAGAGUCUGCUAUUCACGAUGCCUCUGACCUUCACCUUGGGUAAUCAGAAUAUGAAACAUUCUUUUGUAAGUUUUCCUACGACUCCCAUGAAUUUACUUGAGCGAGCUUUGCUGAUAAAGAUGGCAGCAACAAUCAUGUGCUCGGCUGAUGGACUAAUUGUUGCAUUUCCUGAUGGCACCUCCCUUCUUUGUGGAAAUUUCCAAACAGAAGGACAGUAUCUGAUCCAGCCAGUGGUGUCUGAGUUUGCUGACAUCUAUUGGGGACUUUUAACAAAUUUACCCUACAGCAGCCUAAUGUCAACGUUCUUGGCCUGGAAGCCCUGGCUCCUGUGUCUGCGCUUCUGUGUUCCUCCUCCGGGUCCACCACACGUGACCCUGUUCUGCGACAGAGAUGUCUCUGAAUGGUACCAGGAACCUUUCCUUUCCACUUUGGAGGAAACAACCUGGCAGGUAAAAGUCUCGGACAUUUAUGUAGCUCCUGUUGGUGUAGCUGCUGCUGUCUCUCUCACAGAAAAACAAUCAGAAUGGUAUUAAAUGUCUCACAUUUCUCUCUGUUUGCACCCUGAGCACCAAGUGAAAAAAUUGGGCGUGAUGAUGAAACGUUCCCUGGCAGCCACAGAUUUGAUUGCCACAGCAGCACUAGGUUUGUUUUCCUCCCGUACUCUUUACACAUGUAAUAUCUGUCAUUCAGGGUCUGAUCACAUAAUAAAUCUUAAAGGAAAAUGUACUGCAAUUUUCCAUAAAUCAGUGACCUUAGACAUUCUGAUGAGGCUCCUUGGUUUGUAAAAGUAACAAUCUUCAAACAUAUUUGUCAGCAUAUCUACAUUUCUUAAUUAAAUGGUUUUCUUUAUAUUGUUUGGUAAGAUAUUCCGAUUUAAUCUGUCAUAUUUCCAUUAACUGUAAGCAUAAAAUUAUUGUCAUUACUAGACUUAAAGACUUUAGUUAUGCGUUUCACUUUUUGAACUGAUUUACUAAAAUAAAUUAACAUUUAAUAUGCAAUGCAUAAAAAUAUUUUUAACGUUGAAUGUUCCCUCAUAAUGGAAUCGAUUUUAGUUUAACCAGGUUUUGCAAGAUAUUUUGCAGGACUGCCCACUAGACCUUUUGCUUGCUGCACCAGUAACAGAGACCUGCGUUAAAGCCACCUCUCUGGUUUUGCAGCGCCUGCGUCAAACAGAUUUUAAGGUCAGUAAAAGCAGAUUGCUCGAAAACAGGCUAAGUUUUUGGGUAGAAUAAUUUCAGCAGGAACGACUGGCAUGUCCCCAUGGAACAAGCUUUUGUCUCUCUCAAACAACACAUGGCUUCGGCUGCAGAGCUGUCCAUCCCUGAAUACACUUUACAGUUCUUUGAGGAUAUUUCUGGAACAAAACUGACUGUUUUGUUUCAGAAAAAGGGGGAGGAAAAGGGCAUCACCCUUGUACACAACAGGCAGCUGGGAUACCUGCUGCCUGAUACAAAAAACUGAACACAUAGUCAUGGGACAUUCACUGAGUUUCACCAUGACAGCGUUGAGGCAACAAACACUUUCCAAAGUCCUGAAAGCUCCAAACAUUUCAUUCACACACCAAGACAUAAAUAUGGCAGACUGUUUUUUAGAAGGAGAACCACACGUGUGUGCAGACCUGGUGGCAAAGACAGACAAGGUAACACCAGAACUUCAGCAGCUCCUCUGCUGGGACCAGAGGUGAGACAGUUCUUUACAGAUGGUUGUUGUUUCAGAAACAACACACAAGGGUUAAGAGCCUGGAAGAGGUGGUGAGAUGCCAAAAGGGGGCACCACCUGAAGAGAAAAACGUGAAACAAAUGGGUGCUGGAGGGGCCCAGAUGGCAGGUUAAUUCUGCCUCCUGGGAAAAUACUGCUCCAAAAUAAAAAAAUAAGAGCUGCUCCAAGAAGCUCACAGGGUUGUACAUGUUGGGACGAAACAGAUGAUGCACAAUCUUAAAGAGUGGUGGCACCUCAAAUGAUCCACAUGGUGAAACAUUUUGUGAAAAAUUGUUCGGUGUGCGGACAGUUGAAUCCUAAGAAAACUUUGAAUCCACAUCAGGGACAGUUUCCUCCAGUUACAUGUCCAGGGAAAGAGAUUGUGUUGGAUUUUACUGACAUAAUAAACACGUUGCAAGACAAAAGAUAUUUGCUGAUUUGUGUUGAUGCUUUCACAGGAUGAUCUGAAGCCUGGCCAGCAACGACAGAAGAUAGUGAAAUCAUCAUAAAAUGUCUAAUCAAUCAUUACCUCCCAAGGCACAGCAGAAUGAAUGAAUCAAAAUUUAAAACAAAAUUGGCUAAGGUUUGUGCACAAACAAAAUUAAAUUAGGUCGAUACAUUACACAGGAACCAACUUGUGGUUAGACUGAUUAACUGCAACAGCACGAUAAUAUCAAAUGUCUAACUGUGUGACCUGCACAGCUGGACGACCCAGAAUCUAUACUGAACCUGCUUCUUUGAUUCCAUCUGACAUUUGUGGUUUUAACUGCAUGUUUAAUAAUGACUAAGUGUAAACAGCCCUCUGGAUGUGACACUUUAACAGCUUUAUUUCCAGUAAUCAACAGCGGAGCCCGGAUGGUGCCGCUAUUCCAGUUAAAGAUAACUAUGUCUGUUUUGAUUUUACAACAGGUAACCGCAGUGUGGGCCGGAUCCCUGACAGUUGGUGUAACAUCAAAUUCCCAGAGCACUUAAUAGGCUAGAGAUGGCAUAUUUUAUCUAUGCAGGGGAAAUAAACUACUUGAGAGAAUAUAGACUGGUGUGACAGGUGUCUGUGCUAUGGUGAGACUUAGAGCCCAUGUCAUCAUGGUAGGUGAACAACAACCUCUGAAUCACAGCAUCUUUUCACAGGUCAAGUGCAGCGCAACUGUGGAGCUGCAACUUUCCAGAUUUUAAAUGUAAAAGUCCAAUCCUUUCUCGGUGUGCCUGGAUGAAAAUGAGGCAUCUGGACACACGUAGAAACUGGUUGACAUCAACAGAUACUAGACGACACAAUUUUGAAUUAAGUUUGCUGAUCUCAUUAAAACAAAUUAAUCCUGUUGACUUCUUACGAUUUGGCCAGUAUCAUUACAUUGUGUUAAGACUGAAUUUUUAUCUAAAACAUUGAUUGCCAAGUUUAAAAUGUGUUUUCAUUUUGUUCACUAAACAUAUUUCUUUUCAGUUGGUAAGUUUGCAUCUCUUUAUGACCACUAACUACUUUCACAUUUUGAACUUAAAGGGUUCACCUCUCGAGUAC